rnacentral:rRNA from 1 species
GUAGGUGAAGUGGUUUACCCAUGGAGCUGAAAUCAGUCGAAGAUACCAGCUGGCUGCAACUGUUUAUUAAAAACACAGCACUGUGCAAACACGAAAGUGGACGUAUACGGUGUGACGCCUGCCCGGUGCCGGAAGGUUAAUUGAUGGGGUUAUCCGUAAGGAGAAGCUCUUGAUCGAAGCCCCGGUAAACGGCGGCCGUAACUAUAACGGUCCUAAGGUAGCGAAAUUCCUUGUCGGGUAAGUUCCGACCUGCACGAAUGGCGUAAUGAUGGCCAGGCUGUCUCCACCCGAGACUCAGUGAAAUUGAACUCGCUGUGAAGAUGCAGUGUACCCGCGGCAAGACGGAAAGACCCCGUGAACCUUUACUAUAGCUUGACACUGAACACUGGUCCUUGAUGUGUAGGAUAGGUGGGAGGCUUUGAAGUGUGGACGCCAGUCUGCAUGGAGCCAUCCUUGAAAUACCACCCUUUAAUGGCUGGUGUUCUAACGUGGGCCCCUAAUCGGGGUUGCGGACAGUGUCUGGUGGGUAGUUUGACUGGGGCGGUCUCCUCCUAAAGAGUAACGGAGGAGCACGAAGGUCAGCUAAUCCUGGUCGGACAUCAGGAGGUUAGUGCAAUGGCAUAAGCUGGCUUGACUGCGAGCGUGACGGCGCGAGCAGGUGCGAAAGCAGGUCAUAGUGAUCCGGUGGUUCUGAAUGGAAGGGCCAUCGCUCAACGGAUAAAAGGUACUCCGGGGAUAACAGGCUGAUACCGCCCAAGAGUUCAUAUCGACGGCGGUGUUUGGCACCUCGAUGUCGGCUCAUCACAUCCUGGGGCUGAAGUAGGUCCCAAGGGUAUGGCUGUUCGCCAUUUAAAGUGGUACGCGAGCUGGGUUUAGAACGUCGUGAGACAGUUCGGUCCCUAUCUGCCGUGGGCGCUGGAGAAUUGAGGGGGGCUGCUCCUAGUACGAGAGGACCGGAGUGGACGCAUCACUGGUGUUCGGGUUGUCAUGCCAAUGGCAUUGCCCGGUAGCUAAAUGCGGAAGAGAUAAGUGCUGAAAGCAUCUAAGCACGAAACUUGCCCCGAGAUGAGUUCUCCCUGAC